rnacentral:sRNA from 1 species
AGGAAUACAAAUCAUGUCUCAAUAAUAACCCUCUGUGCGCUCGGUCGAAGAGGACUAUUCUUCGGUCAAGGGUAUACAAGUAGCUGCUCUCCCUUGCUAGAACCUCCAAACAAGCUCUCAAUAAUAACCCUGAAUCUUAAUGGCCUAAACUCACCAAUCAAAAGACACAGACUGGCAGAUUGGAUUA